AUCCUAGCCAUAAACGAUGAUAACUAGGUGUGGGAGGUAUCGACCCCUCCCGCGCCGUCGCUAACGCAUUAAGUUAUCCGCCUGGGGAGUACGGCCGCAAGGUUAAAACUCAAAGGAAUUGACGGGGGCCCGCACAAGCGGUGGAGCAUGUGGUUUAAUUCGACGCUACGCGAAGAACCUUACCUAGGCUUGAACCGCUAGUAGUAGCCUCUUUGAAAGGAGGGGCGACCCGCAAGGGAGCUAGCAGAGGUGCUGCAUGGCUGUCGU
rnacentral:rRNA from 1 species